rnacentral:lncRNA from 1 species
GAGGUUGCUGCAAAUCAAUAAGUCAUAAUAUUUUCAUUGACAGAGAUGAAUGAUACAAUACUUGUUUUAAGAAAAUUAAACCCCUCAUGACAAACAUUAUAUAUCUCAGCCUUAAAUUUCUGAUGCUCAAAUGUGCCUUUCAAUAUUCAUAACUGCAGUGAAGAUAUUAUUUAGACAGAAAUCCAAGGAUAAAAUUCUCCCAACCACUACACCCACAAAGGAAAGUAUUUUUGCAAGUUCGAGUAAUCUAAAAGCACGAAGACAAGAACAAAAUUUCACCAUUUCUAUCCCCUAAAGGAAUUUUUCUAGCUUCCGGGAUUUAAUAGGUUCUGGCGGACGGAAGGUCUUCAAUUGCAAUUUGGAGCUUGUCUGGAUCUCAUUCAAGAAAGCAUCACCCUUCUCUGUUUGUAUCACUUCCAAGGUACUUCCGAGAAUGUCAGCUGC